UGCGCUCACGACUGUAAGUCGCUCUGGAUAAGAGUGUCUGCUAAAUGACUAAAA
rfam:Salmo salar isolate Sally breed double haploid chromosome ssa13, whole genome shotgun sequence.